UAUCCCUUUAAUUUAGUCCAGAGAGGCUGAGAAGGUGAGCAUGAGUAAUUCCCUUUGUAGAAGGGAAUAGUCUAACUGUAUGUAAAUUCUUCCCACCUACUCAGGUGGGAUUUUUUUAU
rfam:Pilibacter termitis strain ATCC BAA-1030 genome assembly, contig: EI49DRAFT_scaffold00002.2